rnacentral:rRNA from 1 species
GACGAACCGUACGAACGUUAUUCGGAAUUACUGGGCUUAAAGGGUGCGUAGGCUGUGCGGAAAGUUGGGCGUGAAAUACCUCAGCUUAACUGAGGAACUGCGUUCAAAACUACCGUGCUCGAGGGAGACAGAGGUAAGCGGAACUUAGGGUGGAGCGGUGAAAUGCGUUGAUAUCCUAAGGAACACCGGUGGCGAAAGCGGCUUACUGGGUCUCUUCUGACGCUGAUGCACGAAAGCUAGGGUAGCGAACGGG